GUGCACGCUGGCGGUAGGCCUAACACAUGCCAGUCGAACGGCAGCACCGUAAGAGCUUGCUCUUACGGGUGGCGAGUGGCGGACGGGUGAGGAAUACAUCGGAAUCUACUUUUUCGUGGGGGAUAACGUAGGGAAACUUACGCUAAUACCGCAUACGACCUACGGGUGAAAGCAGGGGAUCUUCGGACCUUGCGCGAUUGAAUGAGCCGAUGUCGGAUUAGCUAGUUGGCGGGGUAAAGGCCCACCAAGGCGACGAUCCGUAGCUGGUCUGAGAGGAUGAUCAGCCACACUGGAACUGAGACACGGUCCAGACUCCUACGGGAGGCAGCAGUGGGGAAUAUUGGACAAUGGGCGCAAGCCUGAUCCAGCCAUACCGCGUGGGUGAAGAAGGCCUUCGGGUUGUAAAGCCCUUUUGUUGGGAAAGAAAAGCAGCAGGUUAAUACCCCGCUGUUCCGACGUUACCCAAAGAAUAAGCACCGGCUAACUUCGUG
rnacentral:rRNA from 1 species